rnacentral:rRNA from 1 species
ACGAACGCUGGCGGCGUGCCUAACACAUGCAAGUCGAACGAGAAUCUACUAUGAAAUUUCGGAUGGAUUAGGUAGAGGAAAGUGGCGAACGGGUGAGUAACGCGUGAGCAAUCUGCCUUGUACUGGGGGAUAACGUCGGGAAACCGGCGCUAAUACCGUAUAAUACUAUGAGAUCGCAUGGUCAUAUAGUCAAAACUCCGGUGGUACAAGAUGAGCUCGCGUCCAAUUAGCUAGUUGGUGGGGUAAUGGCCCACCAAGGCGACGAUUGGUAGCCGAACUGAGAGGUUGAUCGGCCACAUUGGGACUGAGACACGGCCCAGACUCCUACGGGAGGCAGCAGUGGGGAAUAUUGGGCAAAUGGGGGAAACCCUGACCCAGCAACGCCGCGUGAAGGAAGAAGGUUUUCGGAUUGUAAACUUCUGUCCUUGGUGAAGAGAAGAAGACGGUAGCCAAGGAGGAAGCCCCGGCUAACUACGUGCCAGCCGCAGC